AGUACGAGAGGACCGGAGUGGACGCACCGCUAGUGUACCUGUUGUGUGGUCGCAUGCAUCGCAGGGUAGCUAUGUGCGGAAGUGAUAAGCCGCUGAAUGCAUCUAAGCGCGAAGCACGCUCCAAGAUAAGUAUUCCCCAUGAGCCUCCUGGAAGACGACCAGGUAGAUAGGCGGCAGGUGUACGCAUGGUAACAUGUUCAGCCGAGCCGUACUAAUUA
rnacentral:rRNA from 13 species